rnacentral:rRNA from 1 species
AGAACGACUCUCGGCAACGGAUAUCUCGGCUCUCGCAUCGAUGAAGAACGUAGCAAAAUGCGAUACUUGGUGUGAAUUGCAGAAUCCCGCGAACCAUCGAGUUUUUGAACGCAAGUUGCGCCCGAGGCCAAUGGUUGAGGGCACGUCUGCCUGGGCGUCUCGC